rnacentral:rRNA from 1 species
CACUUCCUACGGGACGCAGCAGUGGGGAAUUUUGGACAAUGGGCGCAAGCCUGAUCCAGCUAUUCCGCGUGUGGGAUGACGGCCCUCGGGUUGUAAACCACUUUAGUAGAGAACGAAAAGGAGCUAUCGAAUAAAUAGCUCUGCUGGCGGUACUCUAAGAAUAAGCACCGGCUAACUACGUGCCAGCAGCCGCGGUAAUACGUAGGGUGCGAGCGUUAAUCGGAAUUACUGGGCGUAAAGGGGGGGCAGGCGGCUGAGUAAG